AGCGAACGCUGGCGGCAGGCCUAACACAUGCAAGUCGAACGAACUCUUCGGAGUUAGUGGCGGACGGGGGAGUAACACGUGGGAACGUGCCGUUUGGUUCGGAAUAACACAGGGUAACGUGUGCUAAUACCGAGUGUGCCCUUCGGAGGCAAGAUUUAACGCCAUUAGAGCGGCACGCGUCUGUUUAGCUAGGUGGUGAGGUAACGGCUCACCAAGGCGACGCUCGGUAGCGGGUCUGAGAGAAUGGCCCGCCACACUGGGACUGAGCCACGGCCCAGACUCCUACGGGAGGCAGCAGUGGGGAAUCUUGCGCUAUGGGCGAAAUCCUGACGCCGCCAUGCCGCGUAAAUGAUGAAGGUCUUAGGAUUGUAAAAUUCUUUCACCGGGGACGAUAAUGACGGUACCCGGAGAAGAAGCCCCGGCUAACUUCGUG
rnacentral:rRNA from 1 species